rnacentral:tRNA from 1 species
GCGGGGGUGCCCGAGCAAGGUCAAAGGGGUCGGGCUCAGGACCCCCGAUGGUGUAGGCCUGCGUGGGUUCAAAUCCCACCCCCC